rnacentral:misc_RNA from 1 species
UCAACCCUCAAGCCCCCGGGCUUGGUGUUGGAGAUCGGCAACUGCCCCUUGCGGGUGCGCCGUCUCCCAAAUCUAGUGGCGGUCUCGCUGUAGCUUCCUCUGCGUAGUAAUUCACCUCGCUCUGGAACGCAGCGCGGCCACGCCGUUAAACCCCCCACUUCUGAAG